GAUGAACGCUAGCGGCAGGCCUAAUACAUGCAAGUCGAGGGGUAGUGGAAGCUUGCUUCCAUGAGACCGGCGCACGGGUGCGUAACGCGUAUGCAACCUACCUCUAUCUGGGGGAUAGCCCGGAGAAAUCCGGAUUAACACCGCAUAAAAUCACAGUACGGCAUCGUACAAUGAUCAAAUAUUUAUAGGAUAGGGAUGGGCAUGCGUGUCAUUAGUUAGUUGGCGGGGUAACGGCCCACCAAGACCACGAUGACUAGGGGAUCUGAGAGGAUGGCCCCCCACACUGGUACUGAGACACGGACCAGACUCCUACGGGAGGCAGCAGUAAGGAAUAUUGGUCAAUGGAGGCAACUCUGAACCAGCCAUGCCGCGUGCAGGAAGACGGCCCUCUGGGUUGUAAACUGCUUUGCCAGGGGAUAAAAUUUCCAUGCGUGGAAAACUGGAAGGUACCUGGUGAAUAAAGCCACGGCUAACUACGUGCCA
rnacentral:rRNA from 1 species